AUAAGUCACCUUGUCCUAGAGAGAUCGGUUAUCAAAAGGUUACACCAGGGUAGGCCUACACGAAACACAGCCCUUACUUUAGGUGUUUCUAAAAUCCCCUAUGGGAAAUAUGAAUGGUGGAAAAACAAUUAGAACCAUUUCUCUGUUUGACUUCUAGGUUUUAUUGGAGUUAUGACUUAUACUGUGCUACUCUAUAAUUAAGCAGUAAGUCAUGAGGGGAUGUGGUAUAUGGCCAAUAUACCACGGCUAAGGGCUGUACUUAUGCAUGACGCAUUGCGGAGGCAUAGACACAGCCCUUAGCCGUGGUAUAUUUUCCAUAUACCAUAAACCCCGAGCUGCCUUUAUAAACUGGCUACCAACAUAAUUAGAGCAGUAAAAAUAAAUGUUUUGUCAUACCUGUGGUAUACGGUCUGAUAUACCACGGCUGUCAGCCAAUCAGCAUUCAGGGCUAGAACCAUCCAGUUUAUAACAGGUAAUGGAGAACCAGUGAUACCAUAUUACAGGUAAUAGAGGACCAGUGCUACCGUAUUACAGGUAAUAGAGGAGCCGUCAUACCGUAUUAUAGGUAAUAGAGGUCCAGUGAUACCGUAUUACAGGUAAUAGAGGACCAGUGAUACCGUAUUACAGGUAAUAGAGGAGCAGUGAUAGCGUAUUACAGGUAAUAGAGGACCAGUAAUAGUAUUACAGGUAAUAGAGGACCAGUGAUACCGUAUUACAGGUAAUACAGGAGCAGUGAUACCAUAUUACAGGUAAUAGAGGACCAGUGAUACCGUAUUACAGGUAAUAGAAGAGCAGUGAUAGCGUAUUACAGGUAAUAGAGGACCAGUGAUAGUAUUACAGGUAAUAGAAGAGCAGUGAUACCGUAUUACAGGUAAUAGAGGAGCAGUGAUACCGUAGUACAGGUAAUAGAAGAGCAGUGAUAGCGUAUUACAGGUAAUAGAGGACCAGUGAUAGUAUUACAGGUAAUAGAAGAGCAGUGAUAGCGUAUUACAGGUAAUAGAGGACCAGUGAUAGUAUUACAGGUAAUAGAAGAGCAGUAAUACCGUACUACAGGUAAUAGAGGAGCAGUGAUACCGUAUUACAGGUAAUAGAAGAGCAGUGAUACCGUAUUACAGGUAAUAGAGGAGCAGUGAUACCGUAUUACAGGUAAUAGAAGAGCAGUGAUACCGUAUUACAGGUAAUAGAGGACCAGUGAUAGUAUUAGAGAUAGUAGAGGAGCAGUGCUGUACGGUAUGUAUUUCAGCUAACAGAGGAGCAGUGCUACCAUAUUACAGGUAAUAGGAGAGUAGUGAUGUACAGUAUGUAUUACAGCAAACAGAGGAGCAGUGAUACCCUAUUACAGGUAAUAGAAGAGCAGUGAUACAGUAUUACAGGUAAUAGAGGAGCAGUGAUAGUAUUACAGGUAAUAGAAGAGCAGUGAUGUACGGCAUGUGUUACAGGUAAUAGAGGAGCAGUGCUACCAUAUUACAGGUAAUAGAGGAGCAGUGCUACCGUAUUACAGGUAAUAGAGGAGCAGUGCUACCAUAUUACAGGUAAUAGAGGAGCAGUAUUACAGUAUUACAGGUAAUAGAGGAGCAGUGAUAUACGGCAUGUGUUACAGGUAAUAGAGGAGCAGUGAUAUACGGCAUGUGUUACAGGUAAUAGAAGAGCAGUGAUACCAUAUUACAGGUAAUAGAGGAGCAGUGCUACUAUAUUACAGGUAAUAGAAGAGCAGUGAUACAGUAUUACAGGUAAUAGAGGAGCAGUGAUGUACGUAAUGUAUUACAGGUAAUAGAGGAGCAGUGAUGUACGGCAUGUAUUACAGGUAAUAGAGGAGCAGUGAUGUACGGCAUGUAUUACAGGUAAUAGAGGAGCAGUGAUGUACGGCAUGUAUUACAGGUAAUAGAGGAGCAGUGAUGUACGGCAUGUAUUACAGGUAAUAGGAGCAGUGAUACCAUAUUACAGGUAGUAGAAGAGCAGUGAUGUACGGCAUGUAUUACAGGUAAUAGAGGAGCAGUGAUACCAUAUUACAGGUAAUAGAAGAGCAGUGAUACAGUAUUACAGGUAAUAGAGGAGCAGUGAUAUACGGCAUGUAUUACAGGUAAUAGAGGAGCAGUGAUGUACGGCAUGUAUUACAGGUAAUAGAGGAGCAGUGAUGUACGGCAUGUAUUACAGGUAAUAGGAGCAGUGAUACCAUAUUACAGGUAGUAGAAGAGCAGUGAUGUACGGCAUGUAUUACAGGUAAUAGAGGAGCAGUGAUACCAUAUUACAGGUAAUAGAAGAGCAGUGAUACAGUAUUACAGGUAAUAGAGGAGCAGUGCUACCAUAUUACAGGUAAUAGAAGUGCAGUGAUACAGUAUUACAGGUAAUAGAGGAGCAGUGAUGUACGGCAUGUAUUACAGGUAAUAGAGGAGCAGUGAUGUACGGCAUGUAUUACAGGUAAUAGAGGAGCAGUGAUACCAUAUUACAGGUAAUAGAAGAGCAGUGAUACAGUAUUACAGGUAAUAGAGGAGCAGUGCUACCAUAUUACAGGUAAUAGAAGUGCAGUGAUACAGUAUUACAGGUAAUAGAGGAGCAGUGAUAUACGGCAUGUAUUACAGGUAAUAGAGGAGCAGUGAUAUACGGCAUGUAUUACAGGUAAUAGAGGAGCAGUGAUGUACGGCAUGUAUUACAGGUAAUAUAGGAGCAGUGCUACCAUGUUACAGGUAAUAGAGGAGCAGUGAUACCGUAUUACAGGUAAUAGAGGAGCAGUGCUACCAUAUUACAGGUAAUAGAGGAGCAGUGAUACCGUAUUACAGGUAAUAGAGGAGCAGUGCUACCAUAUUACAGGUAAUAGAGGAGCAGUGAUACCAUAUUACAGGUAAUAGAGGAGCUGCUGCUGCAGAGUUAAUAAUUAUGAUUAUGAGUUAAAAAUAUUAUAAAUACUUUACAGACUUUAGAAAUACAGCAACAACAGGAACAUCUGCAGUCAGAAAUCAGAUUAAUGAAUAAAAUGAAAUGUUUUUGAAUCCUAAAUCGACCCUUAGCCCCUGUUUCAUAGGCCUAUGCACUCCAGUAUUCCAGUGCAGUACUGUAUAUCACUCUAUUCUUUACAUAGUGCUCUACUUUUGGCCUGAACUCUGGAUUAGGGACUUCUACAGGGAUCCGUCUUGUGUUCUGUUGAUGUUUCUGUUGGCUUAAAGAAUAAAGACACACAUAUUUCUGGG